GGGAAAUAAGAGCAAAGAGAACACAAUUAAAAUUUCCUUGUUAUAAUGACAACUGAAAAUAUGCAUCACUUCCUUCUGUUUACUGAUUAUUAGAUAAUGAAAUUGCAAAAUUUAUGGCCUUAAAAAUGAACAACAUAUAUUAAACACAGUG